GAUGUUUUGUAGAUUAAAGGCGGGAACAAGCCCAUUUAUUAAACCAAAAAAAUGUACAACCAAACCAGAAAAGGCCUGGUCCAAACAAAAAUGGGUCUUGACAACUUGAAAUAAAAUUUUCAAAAUAAACUUAAAAUGCAGAUAAAUCUCAACUUGCUCAUACCAAAGUGUGGAUAUUCAUACCAGUCGACAUCUUGAAUCUCUCACCAGGUGAGAAAUGGGAAGCAUAUUAGUCCUUGUGAAGCACUCUGGUCGAUGAACGUACGAAAAUAACUUUGAAGAAUAUGUCACUGAUGCUAUACUGUUGAGCACAUCAGAAACAUUCGUUGAGCUGCACGAUAUUUUUGCAUCUCACUUAAGUGUGGAAUUAACCAGCAAACGUAUUCAAGUGGAAAAUCAAAUCACUACUAAUGUAGGACAGAUAGAAAUACAUAAUGAUAUGGGUUUAAAGAUAUUUAUAUUGCAGAAAAAGAUGAUACAAAACAUGAAUUGUCUUCUUUUAUACAUAAGCAUUUUGGAGAAAGUAAUAGGGAACAACUUGGCAAGUUCAUCUAUAUGUGUUGCUGAAAGAGGAAUCAACUGUAACAACUUGCAAACAGUGAUAAAUACAAUAUAUGAAGGAGCUUUGAUUGUUUGCGAAGAUAUACAAGCAUUAGAUGUUUUUGAGAUAGACACUAUUGAGGUAAUUAUCUCAAACCCACAUCACAAGCAUAUUGAGGAUGAUCGGGUUUACUUGAUAAUUUUUUUUUUAAAGUCAGUCAUGAAGGACUAUUCAAUUAGGGAGAAGUUUCAAACGCACAGUAAAAGGUCAAGUAAGAAAACUUAUAUAUUGUUUUGCAAAUCAAGAAACUGUGAGCUCUUAAUGCAUGCAUCAGACAUGGGAGACACUGGAAUGUUUGGAAUUAGAAGAUUCAUACCUGAACAUACUUGCCCAGUGAAGGACAAAAUCUAUCCAAAGGUGCAUGCAACUAGUAUGUUGAUAGCUGGUAUGGUUAAACAGAAAUUCAAAAACCACAAAUAAAAACACAGUGCGACAGAAAUAAAAAAUGACAUGAAGGAAGAUUUUGGUAUGGAUUUGACAUACACUUUAUGUUGGAGGGCCAAGGAAAGAGCGUUAGAAGAGUUGAGGGAUAAACCAUUAGCAUCUUAUGGGAAACUGCCAUCAUUCUUAUAUGUGUUGAAUACUACCUAUCCAAAGUCAUAUAUAAAAAUGAAGAAGACAGAUGAUAAUGCGUUUUUGUAUGUAUUUAUUGCUCUACAUGCAUUCAUUAAAGGGUUUGAUCAUUGUAGACCAGUCGUAGUUGUUGAUGCUAGUCAUCUGAGAGGAAUGUAUACUGGACAUUUGUAAAAGUAUGUACAAUGAACGGAGCAGGUUAGUAUCUUUUAAUAAUAAUUACAUUAUACAA